UAUGUUUCUCUCUGCGGCACUGUGGUGUGGUAGGUAGAGGUAGAUUAUGUCUCUCUGCGGCACUGUGGUGUGGUAGGUAGAUUAUGUCUCUCUCUGCAGCACUGUGGUGUGGUAGGUAGAUUAUGUUUCUCUCUGCAGCACUGUGGUGUGGUAGGUAGAGGUAGAUUAUGUCUCUCUGCGGCACUGUGGUGUGGUAGGUAGAUUAUGUCUCUCUGCGGCACUGUGGUGUGGUAGGUAGAGGUAGAUUAUGUCUCUCUGCGGCACUGUGGUGUGGUAGGUAGAGGUAGAUUAUGUCUCUCUGCGGCACUGUGGUGUGGUAGGUAGAGGUAGAUUAUGUCUCUCUGCGGCACUGUGGUGUGGUAGGUAGAGGUAGAUUAUGUCUCUCUGCGGCACUGUGGUGUGGUAGGUAGAGGUAGAUUAUGUCUCUCUCUGCGGCACUGUGGUGUGGUAGGUAGAUUAUGUUUCUCUCUGCGGCACUGUGGUGUGGUAGGUAGAAUUUUGCUCUCUGGUUUAAUUGGUCAAGUAAAAGUAGUGCUUACAGAAUAAGGUGGAUAUUUUGUUUUUAAAUAGCUGGUAUCUAUUCAUGUUUAUUAGACAUUUCAAUCUUAUUACAAGUUACAUUGUUUUUGUUUUAUAUAUUUGUUUUCUGCAAUAACAACAUCCGUUGUAGCUGCAUUUACUGCUGGUCCAGUUAGACUCCAUGUUAAUAUGUAGUAUUCUUCAGUUCUCUCUGGUAGCAACCAGCUAGCGACACAGAGGACAGCCUCCGGACAGGCCUUCUGUACUCUUCUAUAUGAUCAGUUUAGAUUCUAAUCUAUAACAAUAAUAUGUUUUCUGUAACGUUACCGUAAUCGUUCUAUAGCGUUAUUGAUAAUCCCUGGAUGCUACUGCGUUUUUUGUUCUGCAUGACUGAAAAUGGAAUUAACGCAACAAACCAGCCGGCGAGAUCGACCCAGAGUCGACCUUUUAUCAGAACCUUCUUUUUCUUUCUGUCCACUAGUUUUUUUUUAAAUGUUGUGUUUUUCAUGUCGUUGUUGUUUCUACUUCUCUGAUGAACAACUGUGGGUGUGUAGCGGAAUGCAUCUUAUGAGCACAAGAUGUUGAAAAUAAGUCUUUCAAACUAUUUUGCUCACUGGGUAGAUAGGCAGCUGCAGCUUGUGAAACGAACUUGUUUUACUAACUCCUGUACCAAGGCAGCAGACAUUCCUUCCUAUAGGGAACCUAGGACAGGUGUUGCAUUCAUAUCAGUAUUAGUAUAGCUACUAACUUAGUAACAGAAAGGUGGUGAUUUAGUGUUGCAACAUUCCGGAAACAUUCCCUGAAAAUUCCUUGAUUUUUUUCCGGAAAAUCCUGGUUGGAAAAUCCACAAAUCUUCCAAACAACCAGAAUUGAUAGAAAACCUGAGAAUUUUGGGGGAUGUAACCGUAAGGUGCAAAUCUAGUGGUGAAGGUGACAGAACAUGGUUAAAGCUUAAGGGUUGAUGAAGCACUGUCUAUACAGCUCUUAUAUGCCCUUACAUUCCAUCAUCCCAAGUCAAAUCUAUAGUUCCUGUAACUACACCAAGGCUACACGUCCUACAUGGAACCCUAUUCCCAAUGUAAAGCUUCACACUUUGUCUGGCCACAUUUAGUGCAUAACGAUUAGGGAUGUCAUUAGGGACGGAGCCUAAACCAUAUUCUCUCAGAGACCGGAUCCAGCUGAACCUAAACCAUAUUCUCUCUGAGACCGGAUCCAGCUGAACCUAAACCAUAUUCUCUCAGAGACUGGAUCCAGCUGAACCUAAACCAUAUUCUCUCAGAGACCGGAUCCAGCUGAACCUAAACCAUAUUCUCUCAGAGACCGGAUCCAGCUGAACCUAAACCAUAUUCUCUCAGAGACUGGAUCCAGCUGAACCUAAACCAUAUUCUCUCAGA
ensembl:lncRNA